rnacentral:rRNA from 1 species
UACGGAGGGUGCAAGCGUUAUCCGGAUUCACUGGGUUUAAAGGGUGCGUAGGAGGGCAGGUAAGUCAGUGGUGAAAUCCCCGAGCUUAACUUGGGAACUGCCGUUGAUACUAUCUGUCUUGAAUGUUGUGGAGGUGAGCGGAAUAUGUCAUGUAGCGGUGAAAUGCUUAGAUAUGACAUAGAACACCAAUUGCGAAGGCAGCUCGCUACACAAUUAUUGACUCUGAUGCACGAAGCGUGGGGAUCAAACAGG